UGGUGGAUUGAUUUGUCUGGUUGAUUCCGACAACGAACGAGACCUUCACUAGCAUACUAAGUGGGAUGAAUUUUGAUUUGGCCGCUUUUUUGCAGGACUUCGUGCGUUUCAGCAUAAUGAAGCGAAGGCAAUAACA
rnacentral:rRNA from 1 species